rnacentral:lncRNA from 1 species
GUUUGGUAGGUGGGGUCAUCGGACACAUUUUAAAAACUAUAUACCACUAUUAUGAUUGUGGCCAAGUUAGUUUAUAUUUGGCCCAGUAGUUUCAGAGAAGAAGAUUUUUGUACAAGUUACAAAAAUGACGAAAAACUUGUUAAAAUUGAUAAAAAAGGGCAAUAACUCCUUAAGGGGUUGACUGACAAUUUUGGUCAUGUUGACUUAUUUG